AAGUCGUAACAAGGUUUCCGUAGGUGAACCUGCGGAAGGAUCAUUAAAAAUUGAGGAAUUUACCGUGUGCAAAGGUUUGGGGGAGAAGGUGGGGGAUGGUUGGUGGGGAUUGAUAUGAUUGGUUUGUGAUUGAUGUGUUAAUUUAUGUUACUUUGUAAUUUAUAUUUAACUUGUCUUUUAUUAUAAUUCAAUCUGUCAAUCGUCUCAAUCAUUUCAUUCUAAUCUAUCCAAUCAUAUAUACUAUUCGUCAAACUUAACAACAAAUAAUAAUUUGCGGCAAUGGAUCUCUAGGCUCUU
rnacentral:misc_RNA from 1 species